UGCAGUCGAACGAUGAACCACUUCGGUGGGGAUUAGUGGCGAACGGGUGAGUAACACGUGGGCAAUCUGCCCUGCACUCUGGGACAAGCCCUGGAAACGGGGUCUAAUACCGGAUAUGAGCCUCCAUCGCAUGGUGGGGGCUGUAAAGCUCCGGCGGUGCAGGAUGAGCCCGCGGCCUAUCAGCUUGUUGGUGAGGUAACGGCUCACCAAGGCGACGACGGGUAGCCGGCCUGAGAGGGCGACCGGCCACACUGGGACUGAGACACGGCCCAGACUCCUACGGGAGGCAGCAGUGGGGAAUAUUGCACAAUGGGCGCAAGCCUGAUGCAGCGACGCCGCGUGAGGGAUGACGGCCUUCGGGUUGUAAACCUCUUUCAGCAGGGAAGAAGCGAAAGUGACGGUACCUGCAGAAGAAGCGCCGGCUAACUACGUGCCAGCAGCCGCGGUAAUACGUAGGGCGCGAGCGUUGUCCGGAAUUAUUGGGCGUAAAGAGCUCGUAGGCGGCCUGUCGCGUCGGUUGUGAAAGCCCGGGGCUUAACCCCGGGUCUGCAGUCGAUACGGGCAGGCUAGAGUUCGGUAGGGGAGAUCGGAAUUCCUGGUGUAGCGGUGAAAUGCGCAGAUAUCAGGAGGAACACCGGUGGCGAAGGCGGAUCUCUGGGCCGAUACUGACGCUGAGGAGCGAAACU
rnacentral:rRNA from 1 species